UACGUAGGGUGCGAGCGUUGUCCGGAAUUAUUGGGCGUAAAGGGCUCGUAGGCGGUUUGUCGCGUCGGGAGUGAAAACUCAGGGCUUAACCCUGAGCCUGCUUCCGAUACGGGCAGACUAGAGGUAUGCAGGGGAGAGCGGAAUUCCUGGUGUAGCGGUGAAAUGCGCAGAUAUCGGAAGGAACGCCCGUGGCGAAAGCGAGGUCCUGGACGUCUACUGACGCUGAGACGCGAAAGCUAGGGGAGCGAACGGG
rnacentral:rRNA from 1 species